rnacentral:rRNA from 1 species
CCUACGGUGUGCAGCAGUGGGGAAUAUUGGACAAUGGGCGAAAGCCUGAUCCAGCCAUGCCGCGUGUGUGAAGAAGGCCUUCGGGUUGUAAAGCACUUUCAGUGGGGAAGAAAGCCUUGGGGCUAAUACCCUCGAGGAAGGACAUCACCCACAGAAGAAGCACCGGCUAACUCCGUGCCAGCAGCCGCGGUAAUACGGAGGGUGCGAGCGUUAAUCGGAAUUACUGGGCGUAAAGCGCGCGUAGGCGGUCUGAUAAGCCGGUUGUGAAAGCCCCGGGCUCAACCUGGGAACGGCAUCCGGAACUGUCAGGCUAGAGUGCAGGAGAGGAAGGUAGAAUUCCCGGUGUAGCGGUGAAAUGCGUAGAGAUCGGGAGGAAUACCAGUGGCGAAGGCGGCCUUCUGGACUGACACUGACGCUGGGGUGCGAAAGCGUGGGUAGCAAACAGGAUUAGAUACCCUGGUAGUC